rnacentral:rRNA from 1 species
UGACAGUACUCCUACGGGGAGGCAGCAGUCGGGGGAAUAUUGCACAAUGGGCGCAAGCCUGAUGCAGCCAUGCCGCGUGUGUGAAGAAGGCCUUCGGGUUGUAAAGCACUUUCAGUCGUGAGGAAGGUAGUGUAGUUAAUAGCUGCAUUAUUUGACGUUAGCGACAGAAGAAGCACCGGCUAACUCCGUGCCAGCAGCCGCGGUAAUACGGAGGGUGCGAGCGUUAAUCGGAAUUACUGGGCGUAAAGCGCAUGCAGGUGGUUUGUUAAGUCAGAUGUGAAAGCCCGGGGCUCAACCUCGGAAUAGCAUUUGAAACUGGCAGACUAGAGUACUGUAGAGGGGGGUAGGAAUUUCAGGUGUAGCGGUGAAAUGCGUAGAGAUCUGAAGGAAUACCGGUGGCGAAGGCGGCCCCCUGGACAGAUACUGACACUCAGAUGCGAAAGCGUGGGGAGCAAACAGGAUUAGAUACCCCUGGUAG